rnacentral:lncRNA from 10 species
CACCUCUCCACUGAGACUUCAUAUCAGACCACUACGCUGAUAUUAGGGUGAUAGGAGUCAAGAGCAGGAAACAGCAACUGUCCUAGAUAUUUUGGAAAGAAGCAUGUGUGCCAGAGGCUGAGAAAUAAAUCUAACAUUCGCGAGCUUGCCGACUUGGUAACAGAUCUAGUGCUGUGCUGUAAUAUCCUUUCCAAGGUGAAGGAGAAGUUGCUACUUCUGACUACACUAACUACAAAAAAAAAAGAUGAACAUAACACCUAGUGAACCUCUUUGAGAUUUGAAAGCCACAUAUCCCCAUUUUUGGAGUACUAGGAAAGAGUGCGAGUUUCAAGUGGGACUUCAAGCAAGAGAAGGCUUUGUCACAGGUCCGAGUUGCUAUGUAAGCUGCUCUUAAACUUGGGCUGUAUGACCCAGCUGGCUCAAUGAUUCUUGAAAUGUCUGUGGCAGAUAGGUAUGUGUAUGGAACUUUUGUAAAGCACCUAUAGCUGAAGCACUAUAUGGACUUAAUAUUGUAGAACCAAGCCAUGCCAUCUUCUGUAGAUAAUUAUCCUACUUUUGAGAAGCAACAUCUAGACUAGUAGACUGAACAUUUGCCCUUGGAUUCCUGUUUCCCUGUAGCCUUAGAUGCCACAGUGAACUGAGCAUUGUGUGAUCCAUCAAGCCAGAAAGCUGUGUGUACAUAAUAGAGUUCUAUCAUAAAGCUGAAGGGGUAUAUUUAAGACUGGGUCUGAACAGUCACUGAAGGCAUUUAAGUAAGUUGCAUGAGAAAAUAACAGAUUCCCAUGGCUCUUAAUCUUGCUACAUUGCCAUGAUGGUUAAUAUUGAGUAUCAACUUGAUGGAAUUGAAGGAUGCAAAGUGUUGUUCCUGGGUGUGCCUGUGAGAUUGUUGCCAAAGGAGAUUAACAUUUGACUCGGUGGAUUGGGAAAGGCAGACCCACCCUCAAUCUUGAGUGGGCAUAAUCUAAUUGGCUGCUAGUGUGGCCAGAAUAAAAGUAGCAGAAGAAUGUGAAAAGACUAGACUGGCUUAGUCUUCCAGCCUACAUCUUUCUCCCGUGCUGGGUGCUUCCUGCCCUCAAACAUUGGACUCCAAGUUCUUCAGUUUGGGGAAUUGAACUAGCUUCCUUCCUCCUCAGCUUGCAGACAGCCUACUGUGGGACCUCACCUCAUGAUCAUACUCCUUCUACAUCUGUUGUUCAAGGUUCAGACUCAAUAUGCAACUAAUUUAUGAAGCCCGUUUAGACCACAACAACCCUGAUGCAAGAUGUUCUCCACUAUGUUAAGAUGCAGCAUGAAGCCCUUACCAGAAGCUAAGAGUAUUCCGUUAGAGCAACACAAAACAGACUAAGACAACUUGUUCAUUACUGAUGUACAGAUUUCACUGACCAGCAACACUCCAGUGAAACUGCAGUCAAAAUUUAUGGAGUCUGCAGUAAAUAUGAAGCUAAAGUAACAGGGGACGUAUUCUUGGUAAACUUGGAAAGAGAUGUGACUCAGUGCACCAAGAAAAAGGACUGAGACCUGAGAAACUUGGCAAAGCAUUUCCUCAG